UACGAAGGGGGCUAGCGUUGUUCGGAAUCACUGGGCGUAAAGGGCGCGUAGGCGGCUUUAUAAGUCGGGGGGUGAAAGCCUGUGGCUCAACCACAGAAUUGCCUUCGAUACUGUAGAGCUUGAGACCGGAAGAGGUAAGUGGAACUGCGAGUGUAGAGGUAAAAUUCGUAGAUAUUCGCAAGAACACCAGUGGCGAAGGCGGCUUACUGGUCCGGUUCUGACGCUGAGGCGCGAAAGCGUGGGGAGCAAACAGG
rnacentral:rRNA from 1 species